rnacentral:rRNA from 1 species
UCCCCCAAAUACAGUGGCGGUCCCGCCGCAGCUUCCAUCGCGUAGUAGCUAACACCUCGCGAUUGGAGAGCGGCGCGGCCACGCCGUAAAACACCCAACUCUUCUGAAGUUGACCUCGAAUCAGGUAGGAAUACCCGCUGAACUUAAGCAUAUCAAUAAGCGGAGGAAAAGAAACCAACAGGGAUUGCCCCAGUAACGGCGAGUGAAGCGGCAACAGCUCAAAUUUGAAAUCUGGCUCUCGGGCCCGAGUUGUAAUUUGUAGAGGAUGCUUUUGGUGAGGUGCCUUCCGAGUUCCCUGGAACGGGACGCCACAGAGGGUGAGAGCCCCGUCUGGUUGGACGCCGAACCUCUGUAAAGCUCCUUCGACGAGUCGAGUAGUUUGGGAAUGCUGCUCUAAAUGGGAGGUAUAUGUCUUCUAAAGCUAAAUACCGGCCAGAGACCGAUAGCGCACAAGUAGAGUGAUCGAAAGAUGAAAAGAACUUUGAAAAGAGAGUUAAACAGUACGUGAAAUUGUUGAAAGGGAA